ACCAGUGAAGGUGGUUUCGGGGGAGCUCUGGCCAUCUGUUGCUGCAAUAAAUUGUUUAUGCUUGAGAAUCCUGCUUUCUAUGUUGCUAGGUUUUCUUCGCAUCUAUUGUCUAUUUUUGGUUUCUUAUUAUUAUUCAAAUUCCUUCAUCAUUUUCCAAUACAUGCUUACCUUAUUAUUUCCCUUUUGACAUUCCUGAAGCAUGCGUUGCAAUAUUAUGGAAAUCUGCCCAAGCAGCCCCAAAGGCUGCUGAAAACAUGAGGAUAACAGCCCAAGAACACCUUCGGCUAAAAAUUGAUGAUGUUAUCAUUCCUGCAAGCUUUUCUAAAUUCUCAAAUUUCUGCCUGAAAUCAACAUGAUUUGUUUGGACACUUGGAAUGCGUUCAUUUGGACUGCAUGCUUAUUCCACAUAAUUGGCAGAUUGGUGAGUGUGUUGCUAACUGGUGGAGGCCCAAUUUUGAAACAGUGAUGUAUCCCUACUGCCCUCCUCACAUCACAAUGAGUUAAUAGCUAUGGAGUAUAUUGUUUUUGUGUGCCGGAAGCCUAUUAGCUUAAUUGGUCGUGCAUUGUGCACUUGCAUUGCACAUGAUGUGGGUUCGAAUCCUACAUAGGCUUACAUGUAGUGAUCUUUUUAAAAUGUAGUAAAAAUGAAUAUAAUUAGCUUAUUUUUAUUUAUAACGACUUUUAUAAUUACCUGAAGUUUAUAUAUAGUUACCUUA